AAUCAACGCUGGCGGCGUGCCUCAGACAUGCAAGUCGAACGAUUAAAAGCUCUCUUCGGAGAGUGUAUAGAGUGGCGCACGGGUGAGUAACACGUAAGUAAUCUACCCUCGAGUGGGGAAUAACAACCGGAAACGGUUGCUAAUACCGCAUAAUGCAGCGGCACGCAAGGUGACAGUUGUUAAAGAUUUAUCGCUUGAGGAGGAGCUUGCGGCAGAUUAGCUAGUUGGUAGGGUAACGGCUUACCAAGGCUACGAUCUGUAACCGGUCUAAGAGGACGGUCGGUCACACUGACACUGAAUAACGGGUCAGACUCCUACGGGAGGCAGCAGUCGGGAAUUUUGGGCAAUGGCGAAGCCUGACCCAGCAACGCCGCGUGAAGGAUGAAGUAUUUCGGUAUGUAAACUUCGAAAGAUAGGAAGAAUUAA
rnacentral:rRNA from 1 species